rnacentral:rRNA from 1 species
CGCCAGACUCCUACGGGAGGCAGCAGUGGGGAAUAUUGCACAAUGGGGGAAACCCUGAUGCAGCAACGCCGCGUGAGUGAAGAAGUCAUUCGUGAUGUAAAGCUCUCUCAGCAGGGAAGAAAAUGACGGUACCUGAGUAAGAAGCCCCGGCUAACUCCGUGCCAGCAGCCGCGGUAAUACGGAGGGUGCAAGCGUUACUCGGAAUCACUGGGCGUAAAGAGCGCGUAGGCGGGGUAGCAAGUCAGAUGUGAAAUCCUAUGGCUUAACCAUAGAACUGCAUUUGAAACUGUUAUUCUAGAGUAUGGGAGAGGUAGGUGGAAUUCUUGGUGUAGGGGUAAAAUCCGUAGAGAUCAAGAGGAAUACUCAUUGCGAAGGCGACCUGCUAGAACAUAACUGACGCUGAUGCGCGAAAGCGUGGGGAGCAAACAGGAUUAGAUACCCUCGUAAA